rnacentral:lncRNA from 1 species
CAGGCUAGAGGGAAGGCGCGCCACCACGAACAGCCUGGAUGCAUCAGCUGCCCAGGAAUUCAUUAUGUAGCUCACCCACAGUGAUCCUCCUGCUUCAGCCUCCCACAUGCUAGGAUAACAGCCCAGCCCAGAGGCAAAGAAAUGACUCCUUUUGGAACCUAUUUCAACAAGUCCCUGAGGCGUAUCGACCUUUAACCGCCAGGAAUCCUGUGGUCCUGCUUGAGGUGUGCCAAGACGGAACGGAGCAAAGAAUACCAUAAACCAACAGACUUUGCAAAUACACUGGAAGGGGGAACAUGAACAUGCUGGAGGUCAGAGGACAACUUGAAGCCUCUUGUUUUCUUCCUGAGGAUUGAACUUGGCCUUGCUACCGAGCGCCUCUGACCUCUGAGACAUCACACCAGCCCGAGUUAUGGAUGUGCAGAACCACACAGGCAGCUGAGGGA